rnacentral:lncRNA from 1 species
UUCUAGUCUUAUUAACCUUGGUUACCAAGGACCCUAUUAUACUUGAUGUAACUAUCGUGCGAGCCUCACUAGGGUCUUGGAACGUACUGCCGAGCUUUUGCUUCAGUAGAUUGGUUAAAUCUUUUUUCUAAAACUUCUGUCACUCACUUAGCUCGCUUUGCAUCCUACCCUUGCCUCCUAUUAUUCAAUCUUUUUCUGCUCUUCAGUAUGAGUUUUAUACCUUCAGGUUUGAAAAGCUUCGACUUUCUUAUCUUGAUCUCUAAGGAAUAGUUCAUAGAGCCUAGAAAUGCAUCGGUAAUCACUCCCCUACCAUUCACCUGUCUCUGCUUCUUCGCAACACUAGGAGAGAAAUUGGUAAAUGGAAGUACAAUAUUGGAAAUAUCUUCACUUAAGAUCAGC